rnacentral:rRNA from 1 species
CUACGUGCCAGCAGCCGCGGUAAUACGGAAGGUCCAGGCGUUAUCCGGAUUUAUUGGGUUUAAAGGGAGCGUAGGCUGGAGAUUAAGUGUGUUGUGAAAUGUAGACGCUCAACGUCUGAAUUGCAGCGCAUACUGGUUUCCUUGAGUACGCACAACGUUGGCGGAAUUCGUCGUGUAGCGGUGAAAUGCUUAGAUAUGACGAAGAACCCCGAUUGCGAAGGCAGCCGGCGGGAGCGCAACUGACGCUGAAGCUCGAAGGUGCGGGUAUCAAACAGGAUUAGAUACCCUGGUAGUCCGCACAGUAAACGAUGGAUGCCCGCUGUUGGUACCUGGUAUCAGCGGCUAAGCGAAAGCAUUAAGCAUCCCACCUGGGAGUACGCCGGCAACGGUGAAACUCAAAGGAAUUGACGGGGGCCCGCACAAGCGGAGGAACAUGUGGUUUAAUUCGAAGCAACGCGAAGAACCUUACCAGGUCUUGACAUCCCUCUGACCGCUCUAGAGAUAGAGUUUUC